AUCACCUGGAGAUCUUGUCAAAGUGCAGACUCUGAAUCCGUAAGUCCGAGGUAGGGCCUAGGAUUCUGCAUUUCAAACAAGCUCCCAAGUGAUGCUAU
rnacentral:pre_miRNA from 1 species